UUAAAUGGAGUCCAGAAAAAUGAUCACCCCAGAUAUCAUAUUUAUAUUUAUCCCCUACCUUUUCUUCUACUUUUUUCUGGUUAUGAAGUUUGGGCCCAGGAGCUCGAACAUGAGGAGCAAUUGUAGAUUUUGAAGCUGGAGAAGAAGAGUACAGCAGAUUGGGGGGCUGUACCCAAUCACCAGAAGGAAAAGUGGCAGAAGGCAACGAAACAGGUUUGCCAUUAGUUUUUCUUGGCACUAAGAGUUCCCCUGGAAUAGAAGAGAAGCAAUCAGUACUGCACCAUUUUAAAGAAACCUUGGGCUCCAAUACAGAUGCCUUGGAAGUAGAUUCAGCCACUUGAACCUGCUCACCCUGUUGGUCAGCCACUUGAACAAAUGGAUUUCUUGCCUCAUUAGGGUCCAUGUCAGGAGAUGGUGACCAAGUACGCUUAGGAGUCGCAUUUGUUACAGGAGAUAGAGGCGAUGAAGGUGUGGAAUUCCCACUUUGACUACUUGAGACUUCAAACAGUCCUGUUAAACCUGCAGCAACACCUCUUUUCUUCCUCCGCCUUCUUCCGUUCUCUUUUCCAAUCCUGACAGUAAGGUUAUAAGGUUGGGAAGCUUCAAGAGCAUAAGAAUUCUCAACUGCUACAGAUUUUGAAAGCAAAGAUUGCACUGCUUUGUGAUUUUCAAGAGUUGGCAUCCCAUUCUCAACGGUUAUCCCAUGGUCUGGGCCUCCACGUUGACUAUCAGGAUAUCUAUAACCAGCCGCCUGCUUUGAGGUUUUGCCUUCUGCAACUGAUCUUAACAAACCAUCCAUUUCAGCGGGCAUAGAUGACUUGUUGGUUUUCUGAUUAAGAUCCAAGCAAGCUGACUUACCUGAACUUCUCACUGUAGUAUUGGUCAAUUGGGGAAAUAUGCAACGAAAGAUCAGGAACAUCAAAGAAGCAGAAAGAAACACCACUGCAGAGAAUUUCUUCAAUCGCAUCCAGAAUACUGAUUUCCUGCAAAGAUUGAAUGUGUAUAAAGGGAAACUUGCCUUCAUGGGUAUCACAAAAAUUCCAUUACUCAAGGUCAGUUUGAGAUCUCUUUGUAACAUUGCCGCAUAAAAAUCAGACUGGUAUGAUAUCAGAAGUUUUGUUGACUCGCCUGGUUUAAGCGAAAAACCAUUACAAUUAUGAACCGUAAACCCAUCCAACCCACACUCUGUUCCAGAAACUUGAAUGCUUUUCACCUCAAGAGGCAAGUCUCCUGUGUUUUUGGCAUACAGCUCUUUUGACAGUGGCUGAGAACAAGCAUAAGUGGUCUCUUCCACGUGAGAUACCAGGUCUGG
rnacentral:misc_RNA from 1 species